AUGAUGGUGAUAUAUAAAGAUAAAGGAGUGUGUGUGCCCGGUGCUGGGAAGUUCAGAGGACAAAGUACCAGGGCUCCUGCAGUAACGAAAAAAUGCAGAAGGCGGCAUUUUGAAAGUUGGCAAAGGAAAUACGAAACGGCUGGGUCACCUUUCUGAAGGGGAACAAGUCCUUGGACCUGUCUUGAACUGAGGAUGAAGAAGAAAUAUACACUGUGUGGAUCCAUAUCUGAUGAAAUUCAUGGAAGAGCCUUGGGUAAGCACUCUGCAGACUUCAACAUAUAUAUC
rnacentral:lncRNA from 1 species